rnacentral:misc_RNA from 1 species
GGAAGUAAAAGUCUAACAAGGUUCCCGUAGGUGAACCUGCGGAAGGAUCAUUACUGAGUGAGGGCCCUCUGGGUCCAACCUCCCACCCGUGUUUAUUAUACCUUGUUGCUUCGGUGAGCCCGCCUCACGGCCGCCGGGGGGCAUCUGCCCCCGGGCCCGCGCCCACCGAAGACACCUAGAACUCUGUAUGAAGAUUGCAGUCUGAGCAAAAACUAAAUAAGUUAAAACUUUCAACAACGGAUCUCUUGGUUCCG